AACGGGGCUGAUCACCCUCCGUGCCCGUAAGUUAUGACGGUUUGCGGAUGAAUUUCUGCUAAACCUUUUCGAAAAUGAAAAACAAUGUUCAUAGUAUGUUUCUUAAACCCUAUUCAUGGGUGGAGCCUAAUUUCAAGAAUUUGAAAGAGAGUUGUUAUGUGAAUUUUUUAUCAGUACAGAUUACUUCACAACUUUCGAUUCGUUGUAGAAGUGUUAUGUAAAGAGAAUACUUAUAUUCUUUCAGCUUAUAUAUAUAAUUGCUAUUACUUGCUGGGCACUCAAAUGCUCAUCCUUGCUUAAACUAAAUGUUUUCAGUUAUGUACGAUCGACCUGAAGGCUCAGGCACGAACAAGGGAAAAGAAAAGCUAUUCGAAUGAGAUUUAGUAUGAGUUAAUGGUUAUAGUUAGUAAGACAAUGGAAUCUAUUGUCAGGUAUUGUAAGGAAUGUAUUUGAAGGUCACGUACCUGGGAAAGUAAACUUUGAUGUAUGUAAAUUAAGUUCGAAUUAUAUUAUUAUUAUUUAGUAUUAUUCAGCUUAAAGAAAUGGUAUCGUGGAG
rnacentral:lncRNA from 1 species